CUGACAGUGUCUCGAGCAGUGGGAAGGCGCUGAAGUCAUAAAUGGCAAUUGUAAGGUUGCAAUCAGGUGUGAACAAGAAAUGGUUAAGUGCCGACUCAGCUGCAAAGAUGCGUUGAAUGCGAGUGCAAAAACACAAGCCCUUAUUAUAAUACGGGCGAACAUGAGAUUUGUAAAAAGACGUCGAAGUCCAAGGUCAGCCGAGGCACUUUUUUAUUCCAAUACAGUCUUGAAAAUAGUGCUGAACUGAGGACAGUGCCCAUUUUAAUUAUUUAAGGACAAGCUCUGAGCAUUUUUAAUCAUCUUGGUAAUUAAAUCUAAU
ensembl:ncRNA lncRNA:CR45125 long non-coding RNA:CR45125